AAACUUAGCAAUACGUGCCCAAGGGGUGCUACAAAAAGGAAGAAAAGCAGGGGGCCUAGGACAGACCUCUGUGGGACCCCAUAUCUCAUAUCACCAAGGUUAGAGGUAGUGUUGUUAUAUAAAAUACAGUGAGAAUGACUGGUUAGGUAUGAUGUCAACCAUGCAAGG